rnacentral:rRNA from 1 species
AGGACGAACGCUGGCGGCGUGCUUAACACAUGCAAGUCGAGCGAGGCCCUUCCUUCGGGAAGGUGCCCUAGCGGCGAACGGGUGAGUAACACGUGGGCAACCUGCCCCUAGCACUGGGAUAACCCCGGGAAACCGGGGCUAAUACCGGAUACGACCUCCGAGGGCAUCCUUGGUGGUGGAAAAGAUUCUGGCUAGGGAUGGGCCCGCGGCCUAUCAGCUUGUUGGUGGGGUAAUGGCCUACCAAGGCGACGACGGGUAG